UAUUCUAUUCGACAGAAGGCAGUCACCAGGUUCAGCCUUACACAGGAAUGUGCAUAGCAGGAGGGGAUUAUUGGGGUCACCUUAAAGGCUGCCUACUAUACUAGACUUCAAAAAUUCAAAGUACCUCUGGAUUUUUCCUUCUCCUUUUUCUUUCCUUAAUCAGCUGAUUCAGCAGUGAUUCAUAGAGCAUCUAUUGUGCAUAAUGCCUUGUGGUAAAUACCAUGGGAAACACAACAAUAUUUAAUCACAGAGCUCUGCAUUUCACUUGAGGGGUCCAAAUCUACAGUGAGAUAAGGUUCUGGAAGAAUGUUCAAACCCACAUCUCCUUACACACUAGAAUCCAUAUACAACAUACUUGCAGCAUUGGAGGUAUUAUGUCUUGAAGAGCUAAAGCAGAUCUAUGCAGAAUUGAGUCAGAGAACAUGCCAUGCUAGCCUUGAAAUACGGAUGACUCAAUUUGAGGAAGGAAACACAACCUCCCCAAACCAACUGGGCCAGUUCUAAAGCUAAGAGGAAAAGCAGUGGCUCUCAGUGCACCAAGUCUGUGUGAACUUUGUUUGCCAUGCCAGGAAUUCUCUUGUGCUCUUUCUUACCCUGGUCUUUCUACUGUCUCCAGAGAGUUCCCUCAACACCAGGACGUAGAACUUCGUCCACUGUCUCCCCAAAUCUUCACAUUUCAAUUGAUCUCCCAGUUGCUGCAGAAUGGAUUGUAGUUAAGAGGAACAACAUAACUGGUAGAGCAGCUACUUGCCUUGUGUAGGAAUUUUAUUUAGGUGAUAUUGUUAGUAACAACAGUAAACAUUUAUUAAGAACUAGCACAAUAUUUGACACAGGAAGACCUGUUACAUAAAUAAAGUCUGGUGAGUUUAUAAUUCA